rnacentral:rRNA from 1 species
AUUGGGCGUAAGGGCUCGCAGGCGGUUUCUUAAGUCUGAUGUGAAAGCCCCCGGCUCAACCGGGGAGGGUCAUUGGAAACUGGGGAACUUGAGUGCAGAAGAGGAGAGUGGAAUUCCACGUGUAGCGGUGAAAUGCGUAGAGAUGUGGAGGAACACCAGUGGCGAAGGCGACUCUCUGGUCUGUAACUGACGCUGAGGAGCGAAAGCGUGGGGAGCGAACAGGAUUAGAUACCCUGGUAGUCCACGCCGUAAACGAUGAGUGCUAAGUGUUAGGGGGUUUCCGCCCCUUAGUGCUGCAGCUAACGCAUUAAGCACUCCGCCUGGGGAGUACGGUCGCAAGACUGAAACUCAAAGGAAUUGACGGGGGCCCGCACAAGCGGUGGAGCAUGUGGUUUAAUUCGAAGCAACGCGAAGAACCUUACCAGGUCUUGACAUCCUCUGACAAUCCUAGAGAUAGGACGUCCCCUUCGGGGGCAGAGUGACAGGUGGUGCAUGGUUGUCGUCAGCUCGUGUCGUGAGAUGUUGGGUUAAGUCCCGCAACGAGCGCAACCCUUGAUCUUAGUUGCCAGCAUUCAGUUGGGCACUCUAAGGUGACUGCCGGUGACAAACCGGAGGAAGGUGGGGAUGACGUCAAAUCAUCAUGCCCCUUAUGACCUGGGCUACACACGUGCUACAAUGGACAGAACAAAGGG